rnacentral:misc_RNA from 1 species
UGUGGGAGCGGGCUUGCUCGCGAUGGCGCUGUAUCAGUCGCCGAAUAUGUUGGCUGAACUACCGCUAUCGCGAGCAAGCCCGCUCCCACA